UGGGGUGGGGAGUGGACGGGGAAGAAAUAUCCUUGGAGCCUUUGAGCCACCAGCCCAGGAUGUACUCAAAACACUUCAGAGGACAACUUCACAUAACCCCAAUUCAGACCACUUCAAACUCCAGCGAGGAACGUGGGAACCCUGCUUACAGAUGCUCAGAGCCUUUGACACGACCCAUGUUGGGGCCAGGCCCUUUACCAGGGCUAAGCACCCAGGCUAUUUAUCAUCUGGCCAGUGCUGGGAGGCAGACACUAUUAUUUAUUCCCAUUUUAUAGAUGAGGAAACUGAGGCUCAGAGAGGAAACUGCCUUGCCACGUUCACACAGGUUGGAAGGAUCUAUGCUGGAUUUGCGCCCAGAUCUUUCUGGUUCCAGAGCUGGAGGCGGUCUUGUCUUUGGGACAUCCAGUUCAGGGGCUUGCCCUCUGCCUCAGGAGCACACAGUUCCUGGGCUUUGAAAAGGUGAUGGGGUCGGGGAGCAGCCCGGGGCGGGGCAGCGGUCCUCGUGGGGCCACGCGACACUCCACCUAGUACAGCUGCAACUUGUUUGCUAUCUCUGGUGUGUUUUCGCCUUGCGCUCCUCGCAUGGCCCUCAGGCCUAAAAGCCCGCCAGCCAGCAGGCCUGGGGGAGUGAAGCCUGUUUUGUAGAAGAUACAGAAGCCAGGAGAGGGGAGGUGACAUGCCCAAGGUCACACAGUGAUUGGAUAGCAGGGGCAGGUGAGCACCUGCUGAGCUGACAACAGGCAGUGCCCAGCGGCUGCCUCCUCGCUCUAGCUGAGCUGACCACAAGCUUCCAGGCCUCAGCUGCAGCCUGAUACUGGCUGUGUGGCUCCAAGACACACAAGGAAGUGGGGUGGCAGGCUGACCUCAGCCAGCUGCUGCCCCCUCUCCUCUGAGGCUGGGACCGAUGGGGCCCUUCCCUCCAGGAGGGGUUUCCAGGCCUCCUCUUUUCCCCUACCUCCCUGGGGAGGAGAACUGCCCGCCCCUCCAGAUAUGCUCCGGAGAUGUCGGAGGGAUGCCUAAAUCUGCAGAGACACGCCCGCAACAAAAUCUGCUCAGAGACAAACGGACAUGUUGCUGAUGUGAAUCUCACUUGGUGAAUGGCAGCAACAGAGUCCUGCACUUGGGUCUGUGCAAUCGGGCACACCAGAGACCGCUGACCCUGCCCGCAGUACGGGGGGCUGCAUAUGUACACAGGCACACAUAUGGGCACACCACAGACCGCUGACCCCCGCCCGCAGUACGGGGGACUGUGUGUGUACACAGCAGGUAUAAAUGUGGGCACACCAGAGACCGCUGACCCCCGCCCGCAGUACGGGGGACUGCAUAUGUACACAGCAGGUACAAAUAUGGGCACACGACAAAAUGCUCACACAGGAUAAAGAUGCAGGAAGAACAGGGCGCUCCAACAGGUCUACAUGCACAAACACAUGUGCUCUAUGACCCGCACACACAGCACACAUGUACCAACAUCCACAGACACACAUACACACACAUAGUCACUUACAUGCAUAAGUAAGAUCAACAUGGGCACCUCCUAGAGACACAAACACAGACCCACUCAAUGAAUACAAAGGAAAAUAGACCCAGAACUCACACACAGAGACAAA